rnacentral:rRNA from 1 species
UCCUACAGCCACACCACCCUGAACGAGCCCCGUCCCGUCUGAUCGCGGAAGCUAAGCAGGGUUGGGCCUGAUCAGUACUUGGAUGGGAGACCGCCUAGGAAGACCAGGUGCUGUAGGCG